UCUUAGUUUAACACGUGGUACUUCCGUUUUUUCCUCUUUUUUUUCCCAUUUAAACACAUCCAAGAGUCAGUUGCGAUUAAAUCUUUCUCCAUAAAAUGUUAUUGUAGUUCCUAUAAAAGUAAAAUUGUUCUUAUGCUUAGGCACUGUGCCGUAAAGGUGUAUCGUUAACCGUAGUAUUACUCGUAAGUAGUGGUUUUGUUGCUUUAUUCCCGCUACGCACUGGAUAGGAGGCCAUGUGGACUUCCGGAGCAUAUAUGGAUAUAGUAAAAGGAGGUGCCUGGUUCAGAUCUCAGCUGGGACACUAGCCAUCCCGAGGUUUUUGUGUUUUCUUCAGUGCCUUCAGAAUGACAUUCCUUGAUCCUAUGCUGAUCCAUUUCAACAAUAAGGACACGCAAAAUCAGUGUGAAGGUCCGUUAUACUUGUCUGUUGUAAUCAUGGUGAGGAUGAGCUGGCAGUCUCGUCAGCCCUUGCGAGAACAAACAACUGGCGACCGCAUGGCGACAACAGGGGACGGUGUAUAUACACGGGGUCAUGUGAUACCGGAAUACUCGUAUUCUACUGACGGCGAGGAAUGUUGUUCAUGGAUCACUCUUCUACUGUACUAGUUACAUGCGCGGAUGAGAAGUUUAUGAUUACAAACUGAGAUGGGAAGAAUGUGGAAGGAGCGAUUGUGGUCUGAUUCAAGAUGCUAUCCGAUCAUAUGCAUGUAGUACUGAGGAAUUCUACGAAGAACUCUCAGAUUAGCCGGUCGCUCGGGUUGCCCAAGCCAAUCCAUUUUGCUGCGCAGAAGAUACCAUGGUUUGCGCACGCUCAUCCCUAGCUUAGAGGUGUCGCUCACAGUAAAGACACGAUAAUCUUCUGUCUUUUUAGUGACUUUCCCUUACUGAUAUGUGGAAAAAUUAUUAUGAAAAAUAAAUAGGAGUAGCGCGAAAAAAAAACAAUCAUGGACUACUUAAGGCAUCAGUGUUAUCUUCGGAAAUGUCUGUGG